GAUGUCCUGCUACGAAUGCUGUUUUGGAACAUAACCCCUGUAAAUUACGAAUCUUUGCAUAUUUGUGUCCUUCAGACCACCUAUCCUUCUUUGCUGGAAUGUGCCAAGACUCGUCACAACUGCAGGGGGAUUCCCAGGCAACACCUUGGCAAGAAAUUAGCUUUGUGUUGUAGCUGAGUGACAUGAUACAAGAAGAACCCUUCCUCUGUCUCCAGAGAAAAAGGAUUCUCACCCAAGACCUGACUUUAAAAGGGACUGAAGACUCAUGGGGAAAGAAAUGGAGUGUGUAACCACUCCAUCCAGUCAAAGCUGACCAAGAUAGUUGGAAUCAUUCACAGAAAUGAUUUAGAAAAUAAUUUCAAACAACAGAUGGGGAGGAAUUAUCACCUGAUGGCAGUCAACCGGUGAGCAGAGACCAAGUUCUUGAGUAAAGUAGUUCUCUGCAGAUGGCUGGGUUCAAUAAGAAAGAAUAAAAAAUGAACCUGACCAGUAACAAAAAAUGUGAACAAGUGGUUUCAUUGGUCCUACUGAAGGGAAUACAAAGAAGAAGAAAACAGCCCUAGGUGGGAAAAGGUCAAAAAGCAGACUGUGUGACAAGAGAGAAAUUUGAGAAGACUGAGAUAAUGCCCAAUUAGAUCAUGCAGUUCACCUCCCUGG